CCAAUGAGAUUCUGCCACCUCACAUACAGUACACGUGACCUGUCUCUCGUCCGUCUUUUAACCCCCGCUGUGAGAACCAAGUGAAUCCUCAGGGACAAAUGGGAGGGGAGGUAACCCCAAACCAGAAUCUCGCCUAAGUCUCAUGAGAUCUGAAUCUAACUCUGGUUGCCCUGGUGCCGGAAGAGCUGCUGCUGGUGUCGGAGGCUAGAGAUUAGCAGAAUUGGUUCCCGUUCUGCCCAGAGGCUCUGGAGUCUUUCCCUGCUGCAGGAGUGCGGUGUAUGGUCCGCCAACAUCUGAAAGACAUAUGUCUUAGUCACCGUCAAUGGAAUCACAAAGAUCAGCUGUCCCCAUGACCCUGAGGACACAAUAAGGACACUAUUCAAGUGGAUUA